GAUAUUGGGUUGGAUUUCUGUGCUAACUUUCAAAUUUUAAUGAUUAUAUUAUCUUUUGGUAUUUAAGCUAAUACCAUGUCUGUAUGUAGGAUCCUUGUCGUGAUGGUGUCAGUGAUGGAGUGAAAACAUGCACGGCUGCCGGUGUUAAGGUACGCAUGGUUACAUGAGACAAUCUUCAAACAGCCAAGGUAAUUGCUUUGGAGUGUGGGAUACUUGAUUCGAUAGAAGAUGCUACUCAUCCUACACUCAUUGAAGGAAAGGAUUUCCGUGCAUUAUCUGAAAGGGAGAGGGAACAAAUUGCCAAGAAAAUAACGGUAAUGGGAAGGUCUUCCCCAAAUGAUAAGCUUUUGCUUGUCCAAGCAUUACGGAAGGGAGGAGAAGUUGUUGCUGUAACUGGAGAUGGCACUAAUGAUGCUCCUGCACUUCAUGAGAUUGGAGAUUUUGCUAAUUGUUUGGUGGAGGCUAAAAAUGAGAUGCAGCACAAAUUUUGGCAGACUUGGUUAACUUUCCUUGUCGAAUUGUCAAGGGGUGCAAAUACUGUAGCAGGGAUGCUGCUGCCUCCUGCCUUGUGCAAUUAGAUUACAAAAAGGAAUAUUUGGUUGAUUUGCUUGAGAUGCCAGGAGUAUUUAGCCAGCCAGACUCUUCACUUAAUAGUGCAUUGUCCAUUUCAGUUUCUUCACCACUUUUCCAUCCUAAAUUUAAAUCUGUCAAGUAAUUACUUUUCUUUGAAACAGAGUUUAGCAAUUGUCCAUUGAUUAUAUACAUGAAUCUGUUUUUCUUUUUAAAAAGGAGAAGAGACAUCUACUUUUUAUUUUGAGUUUUUUUAUGUUAAACUUUGAAUCUAGUUUGUAUUAUCUUCAUCAUUGUUUACAUGUUCAUAUAUACUGCAUAUGAAAUUCUUUGUUUUAUCACAUGAAAUCUAGUUUUCGAUGCAUAUUACCUAUUAAAAGUAGUUUUGAAUGUUGACUUAUAUUUUCUUUUUUUGAUUUGGAUCAUUAUGCUACUUUGAUUUUUUUUUUGCCUGUGAUGUUGAUAAAUGAUUUUAUGUUAUGUUGGUGAUUAUGGGACCUGAUGUGCUCAUAUAUUUGUUUUUAAUAUAUGCUGGUAUAUCAAGUGUCAUAAAUGCCCAUAAUAAUAAGUCAUAUUUCACAACAAGGAAAAUGGGCUUUUACUUCGGUUUUUAAGCUUGAUUUACUUUGGUUUUCGCUAAAAUUCGCAACCGCAGUAGUUCGGAGCGAAGUAAAAACUAGCUAAAAACCGAAGUA